rnacentral:rRNA from 1 species
CAGUAGCCGCGGGAAUACAGAGGGUGCGAGCGUUAAUCGGAUUUACUGGGCGUAAAGCGUGCGUAGGCGGCUUCUUAAGUCGGAUGUGAAAUCCCUGAGCUUAACUUAGGAAUUGCAUUCGAUACUGGGAAGCUAGAGUAUGGGAGAGGAUGGUAGAAUUCCAGGUGUCGCGGUGAAAUGCGUAGAGAUCUGGAGGAAUACCGAUGGCGAAGGCAGCCAUCUGGCCUAAUACUGACGCUGAGGUACGAAAGCAUGGGGAGCAAACAGGAUUAGAUACCCCCGUAGUCCCUGUCUCUUAUAC